GACGAACGCUGGCGGCGUGCUUAACACAUGCAAGUCGAACGGAAAGGCCCUUCGGGGUACUCGAGUGGCGAACGGGUGAGUAACACGUGGGUGAUCUGCCCUGCACUUUGGGAUAAGCCUGGGAAACUGGGUCUAAUACCGAAUAGGACCGCGCGCUUCAUGGUGUGUGGUGGAAAGCUUUUGCGGUGUGGGAUGGGCCCGCGGCCUAUCAGCUUGUUGGUGGGGUAAUGGCCUACCAAGGCGACGACGGGUAGCCGGCCUGAGAGGGUGACCGGCCACACUGGGACUGAGAUACGGCCCAGACUCCUACGGGAGGCAGCAGUGGGGAAUAUUGCACAAUGGGCGCAAGCCUGAUGCAGCGACGCCGCGUGAGGGAUGACGGCCUUCGGGUUGUAAACCUCUUUCACCAGGGACGAAGCGCAAGUGACGGUACCUGGAGAAGAAGCACCGGCUAACUACGUG
rnacentral:rRNA from 1 species